GGGCCACUAGCUCAUCAGGCAGAGCACCACCCUUUUAAGGUGGGUGUGGGAGGUUCGAGUCCUCCGUGGCUCA
rnacentral:tRNA from 1 species